rnacentral:rRNA from 1 species
UGCAGAAGAAGCACCGGCUAACUCCGUUGCCAGCAGCCGCGGUAAUACGGAGGGUGCGAGCGUUAAUCGGAAUUACUGGGCGUAAAGCGCAUGCAGGUGGUUUGUUAAGUCAGAUGUGAAAGCCCGGGGCUCAACCUCGGAAUUGCAUUUGAAACUGGCAAACUAGAGUACUGUAGAGGGGGUAGAAUUUCAGGUGUAGCGGUGAAAUGCGUAGAGAUCUGAAGGAAUACCGGUGGCGAAGGCGGCCCCCUGGACAGAUACUGACACUCAGAUGCGAAAGCGUGGGGAGCAAACAGGAUUAGAUACCCUGGUAG